GUCGCGAAUCAUUGGCAAUGCACGCAAGUGUGACCAUGCGACGCCGCGUGGGCGAUGAAGGCCUUCGGGUUGUAAAGCCCUGUCAGGGGUUAAGAAUGGUGCACGUAAACUGCACUUGACUAAGGCCCCAAAGGAAGUCACGGCUAACUUCGUGCCAGCAGCCGCGGUAAGACGAAGGUGGCAAGCGUUACUCGGAAUCACUGGGCUUAAAGGGCGCGUAGGCGGCGAGCCAAGUCGGGUGUGAAAUCCUUCGGCUCAACUGAAGAAUUGCAUUCGAUACUGGCCCGCUGGAGUGCGGGAGGGGAGAGUGGAACUCCAGGUGUAGCGGUGAAAUGCGUAGAUAUCUGGAGGAACGCCGGUGGCGAAAGCGACUCUCUGGACCGCAACUGACGCUGAGGCGCGAAAGCCAGGGGAGCAAACGGGAUUAGAAACCCCUGUAGUCC
rnacentral:rRNA from 1 species